rnacentral:rRNA from 1 species
AUUGAACGCUGGCGGCAGGCCUAACACAUGCAAGUCGAACGGUAACAGGAAACAGCUUGCUGUUUCGCUGACGAGUGGCGGACGGGUGAGUAAUGUCUGGGAAACUGCCUGAUGGAGGGGGAUAACUACUGGAAACGGUAGCUAAUACCGCAUAACGUCGCAAGACCAAAGAGGGGGACCCUCGGGCCUCUUGCCAUCGGAUGUGCCCAGAUGGGAUUAGCUUGUUGGUGGGGUAACGGCUCACCAAGGCGACGAUCCCUAGCCGGUCUGAGAGGAUGACCAGCCACACUGGAACUGAGACACGGUCCAGACUCCUACGGGAGGCAGCAGUGGGGAAUAUUGCACAAUGGGCGCAAGCCUGAUGCAGCCAUGCCGCGUGUAUGAAGAAGGCCUUCGGGUUGUAAAGUACUUUCAGCGGGGAGGAAGGGAGUAAAGUUAAUACCUUUGCUCAUUGACGUUACCCGCAGAAGAAGCACCGGCUAACUCCGUG